CGAUCGCGCGAACUUUCACGAGCGAGCGCGGUCACCAAGCCCUGACGAGUAGGAGGGUCGCGGCGGUGAGCGCAGAAGGGCUGGCCGCGAGGCCGUCUGGAGCCGCCGUCGGUGCAGAUCUUGGUGGUAGUAGCAAAUACUCCAGCGAGGCCCUGGAGGACUGACGUGGAGAAGGGUUUCGUGUGAACAGCCGUUGCACACGAGUCAGUCGAUCCUAAGCCCUAGGCGAAAGCCGAUGUCGAUGCGGUGUAGUUUUUACGAUAAAUAGAUAGAUAGAUAGAUAGAUAGACGAAAUUCGACGACUACGACGAAAGAAACAUUAAUUCGUCGUCUAGUCGUUGUUGUCGUCGUCGUCGUCAUAAGUCUAAUUAAUAACGCGAGAGCACACACCCGUCGGGCGAAAGGGAAUCCGGUUCCUAU
rnacentral:rRNA from 1 species